CACGUAGGGCGCGAGCGUUGUCCGGAAUUAUUGGGCGUAAAGCGCGCGUAGGUGGCCUCAUAAGUCCGCUGUGAAAGUCAAAGGCUCAACCUUUGAAAGCCGGUGGAUACUGUGGGGCUAGAGUACGGAAGAGGCGAGUGGAAUUCCUGGUGUAGCGGUGGAAUGCGCAGAUAUCAGGAGGAACACCAAUAGCGAAGGCAGCUCGCUGGGACGUUACUGACACUGAGGCGCGAAAGCGUGGGGAGCGAACAGG
rnacentral:rRNA from 1 species